UACGUAGGGACCGAGCGUUGUCCGGAAUCAUUGGGCGUAAAGAGCGUGUAGGCGGCCACUUAAGUCCUGCGUGAAAUCUUGCGGCUCAACCGCAAGCGGUCGUGGGAAACUGGGUGGCUAGAGUGCGGGAGAGGAGAGUGGAAUUCCUGGUGUAGCGGUGGAAUGCGCAGAUAUCAGGAAGAACACCCGUGGCGAAGGCGGCUCUCUGGAACGCAACUGACGCUGAGAUGCGAAAGCGUGGGGAGCAAACAGG
rnacentral:rRNA from 1 species